GUGUGCUAGGAAAGGAGUGGGUGGCAGCAUUUGGUGGACCUCAGUCUAUCCUACACACUUGUCUUUACAUCAGGAUUGAUUUAGGAGCACUUUCCCACGGUUGGAAACGUAAAGAAACAUACAAAUAAGAUAUAUUUAUGAAUCUCCAGAAGAGCCCGGCUGACAUUUUUAUUAUUAUGGACGUGCCCACGCUGAUGAGAGGAGGGGAAAAGGCCACCCGAGGGUUUUCUUCACGUCGAGUCAAGAGGGGCGAAAACAAAAAUCAAGUAGUUUUUAUUCAAUAUUUGACUUUAUCUCUGGCUAUUUCCUUUUUGUCAUUGAUUACGAGUUAGGUCGAGGAUAUCACAUUAUUUUGCCGCAUACAUAUUUUAUAAGCGCCUACUUUUUAUCGUCAUCAAAUGUCUAUUAUUUAAAUAUGUUUUUGCAUUUUUUAAACAUUAUAUUUUCCGUGUGUUGAAAUGGAUUUUGCUUCCGUAUUUACUCGACCAUUUUAUACCAAUAUGAACUAUGAAUGUGUUAUUAUUAAUAUCUUGGCUGAUGCACAUCUAAGAGACGUCUUUGUGUUUUCUUCAGUGGUUAUGUGAAACGCUUCGGUUGUGCCUAAAGCUGAAUGAUGUGCUAACAAUAUAUUUCAAUCCUUUUAUUUAUUUGUUCGAACUGGAGCAGCAUGGAAUGUAUGACAUCGGGAAAUAAAAUGAUGAUGUCGGUUUCUUUUUUCUGCAAUAAACAAAACACGUGUGUCCUUCUUUCCACUCUUAUUGCAU